CUGGGCGACUUACCCUGUGACGUCAUCUACUCAUGUUUGUAGAUGUCCUCCUCCACCAUUAACAGACCUCAAAUUUUACAGCAGUCCAUUCUUCCCACCUGAGUGUUUUCCUUCUUUUGAAGAACGAGAUGAGUUGGAUGAGUUAUUGGCUAUCAUGCCACCAGAGGCCCUGGAACCCGUCCCAGUUCCAAAGAAAAGAAAACACGAGAAGGAUAAGGGGACGUAUGUAAAGAAACCUCCCAACGCAUUUAUGCUGUUCUUAAAAAGCGAGAGGAAGACAGUCCAGGAAGAGCUCGGCAUUAAGAACAGUGCCGCAGUCAAUCGAGUUCUUUCUGAACGCUGGAAGUCUUUGGCAGAAGACAAAAGGUAGAUCUUCCAAGCUGAAGCCCAAGUGGAAGCUCAUAUACACGCUCUCAAUAACCCAGGCUGGAGCAACAAAGUGAAUUACGUAAGUCUACUGCGCAGAAAUGUUUACCCAUCCACCUUAUAGGUGAUGACAUCAUGACUGUGGAAGUGUUUUAUCAGCUGACUAGAAUUGUCACGUGUCU
rnacentral:lncRNA from 1 species